rnacentral:rRNA from 1 species
UCGUGAGGCAUGCUGGAGGUAUCAGAAGUGCGAAUGCUGACAUAAGUAACGAUAAAGCGGGUGAAAAGCCCGCUCGCCGGAAGACCAAGGGUUCCUGUCCAACGUUAAUCGGGGCAGGGUGAGUCGACCCCUAAGGCGAGGCCGAAAGGCGUAGUCGAUGGGAAACGGGUUAAUAUUCCCGUACUUGGUGUUACUGCGAAGGGGGGACGGAGAAGGCUAUGUUGGCCGGGCGACGGUUGUCCCGGUUUAAGCGUGUAGGUGUGUGUUCCAGGUAAAUCCGGUUCACUUUAACACUGAGGCGUGAUGACGAGGCACUACGGUGCUGAAGUAACAAAUGCCCUGCUUCCAGGAAAAGCCUCUAAGCAUCAGGUAACAUCAAAUCGUACCCCAAACCGACACAGGUGGUCAGGUAGAGAAUACCAAGGCGCUUGAGAGAACUCGGGUGAAGGAACUAGGCAAAAUGGUGCCGUAACUUCGGGAGAAGGCACGCUGACACGUAGGUGAAGUGAUUUACUCACGGAGCUGAAGUCAGUCGAAGAUACCAGCUGGCUGCAACUGUUUAUUAAAAACACAGCACUGUGCAAACACGAAAGUGGACGUAUACGGUGUGACGCCUGCCCGGUGCCGGAAGGUUAAUUGAUGGGGUCAGCGCAAGCGAAGCUCCUGAUCGAAGCCCCGGUAAACGGCGGCCGUAACUAUAACGGUCCUAAGGUAGCGAAAUUCCUUGUCGGGUAAGUUCCGACCUGCACGAAUGGCGUAAUGAUGGCCAGGCUGUCUCCACCCGAGACUCAGUGAAAUUGAACUCGCUGUGAAGAUGCAGUGUACCCGCGGCAAGACGGAAAGACCCCGUGAACCUUUACUAUAGCUUGACACUGAACAUUGAGCCUUGAUGUGUAGGAUAGGUGGGAGGCUUUGAAGUGUGGACGCCAGUCUGCAUGGAGCCGACCUUGAAAUACCACCCUUUAAUGUUUGAUGUUCUAACGUGGACCCGUUACCCGGGUUGCGGACAGUGUCUGGUGGGUAGUUUGACUGGGGCGGUCUCCUCCUAAAGAGUAACGGAGGAGCACGAAGGUUGGCUAAUCCUGGUCGGACAUCAGGAGGUUAGUGCAAUGGCAUAAGCCAGCUUGACUGCGAGCGUGACGGCGCGAGCAGGUGCGAAAGCAGGUCAUAGUGAUCCGGUGGUUCUGAAUGGAAGGGCCAUCGCUCAACGGAUAAAAGGUACUCCGGGGAUAACAGGCUGAUACCGCCCAAGAGUUCAUAUCGACGGCGGUGUUUGGCACCUCGAUGUCGGCUCAUCACAUCCUGGGGCUGAAGUAGGUCCCAAGGGUAUGGCUGUUCGCCAUUUAAAGUGGUACGCGAGCUGGGUUUAGAACGUCGUGAGACAGUUCGGUCCCUAUCUGCCGUGGGCGCUGGAGAACUGAGGGGGGCUGCUCCUAGUACGAGAGGACCGGAGUGGACGCAUCACUGGUGUUCGGGUUGUCAUGCCAAUGGCACUGCCCGGUAGCUAAAUGCGGAAGAGAUAAGUGCUGAAAGCAUCUAAGCACGAAACUUGCCCCGAGAUGAGUUCUCCCUGAGACUUUAGGUCUCCUGAAGGAACGUUGAAGACGACGACGUUGAUAGGCCGGGUGUGUAAGCGCAGCGAUGCGUUGAGCUAACCGGUACUAAUGAACCGUGAGGCUUAACCUUACAACGCCG